ensembl:lncRNA
GUCCCAACAGCCAAUGACUGCAGGCAUUUGCUGUUUGGCAUGAGACCACAAUGACGUCUGUAUUACCAGUAAAAAGGAGGAUCCAGAAGGCUCACAGAGCCAAAACAAACACUCACUGAAAACCCUGACAAACAUAGAAGUCAAUAAAAAAGAAUACGUUGGAUGAAGACAGCGCACAUCGAAUGUCCAUGUGGAAUUCAAGGAAUGGUUUAAUGUCUUAACAUUUCGCUGAUAAAAAUGGCCUUAAAAUGGCCUUUAAAAAGAUUUAGAUGAAAGGAUCAAAAAUAUGUUUCCCAACAUUUUCAACUAUUGAAAUAACAGAUAAAAGACAAAAGAUAUUCCAUUAUGGUCUUGAGGAAUGUAUUCUCCCAACCUGAUGAUCAUGUCAUUACGACACAGAGACCAAUAAAGGGAGAAAACUGCUUUAACAUGUCCUGAAAAACUUUGUUUUCUCCUAUAAUAACCAGGAGUGGAACAUUUCCCAAUAGGACUAUAGCUGCUGGGACUCUCAGCACUGUGAUUCAGCGCCGCUCUCGCCCUGUGACAUCAACGUUUUCCAUCUGUGUUACAAUGGUGUGAUGAAAUGUGUCUGCGUGACUGCUAAUCAAUUGCCAGAUUCAUUCAGGGCUUGCUGUGCAGGGGGCUGCAGUAUUUCUGGAGAUGAAUUCAAAGAGACAAAGCCGACAGAAGCUCCACUUUUGAAAAAAAAAACGAUCUAUCAUCUGUUGGCCUCCUGUCUGAACCGCACUGCUCCCGCCGUUAGAACAGAAACCUCUCAGAAUCUGGUGCUCACUUCCUCCUCUGUGUGACCUAUUAAAGUUCACAUUUUAGACAGGAAAUAUGUUUCCUUGUGAAAAAGUGUUGAGUAAUUUACACAGAGCAGACCCAAAUUGAAUCAUUCAGGAUUGCGUUCUAGAGUUUUUGUAAUCCCACCAGCAUUUUCGCCCUCAAUUGUCUUCUCGAGGCCUCAUCAUUUGUAAACUUGCACUGUCUUAGAUAGAUUUAAACUGUCAAGAAUACUCACUGUGCGAGUUCUCACUAGGGUUUAUGAGAUUGGCAUGCUAACAUUAGUAAGUCACCAACCCCAAAGUACAGGCAAUGCUGAUGGAAUCUCAUUAAUUUGAAAAAAAGUAGCUUUCUGGAUUUUUUUUUAUUUUGAUCUGGUUUUGGUUCAGGGUAUCAAUUCAAGUUAUUACAUUCACCCAGACGGAAUGCGAAUAUCUCUAGUAAAUUCAAUGGCAAUCAUAAAAAAAUGGUAGUCUCAGUUAAUAGUUAUAGUCAUAGUUUAGUCUUAUUUGGGAAAAUUGUUAGAUAUAAAAUUAGAAAAUACUUUUUAUCAACUUGCUAUAUCUGUGAUUGUUCAACGCACAAAUAUAGACUGUUGGCAAGGGUGUGUCACUUUCUAGCGGAAGUGCACUGCCUUCAUUACUUCCAAAGAAAGGUAUGACGUGUCAUUAUUUCACAAGUCAAAUGAAGUCAUGGAACCUAAUCUGCAUUCAGACGUUUUUGCUCUCUUGACCAAAGUUUUAGGAUUUAAAUAGCAACGGAUCAGUGACAGACCAUCAUUUAAAUCUGUUUUUUUGUGUUUGUUAAAUUUGAGUAUCUGACAAUGUGUUAUUUAUCUAUUUCACUCAUACGUAUUGAUGCUUUGAUUUGAGGUCAGAACUCACUCACAACUGUCUGCCACUGACCUCAGCAAUUAAACCCUCAGGAUGUUAAAAUGUGAGAGGUAAUACUGGACCUUGUUAUAGGAUAACAAAAAAGAGACAUCCUUUCAACAAAAGCAG